AGAGACCCUCCCCAAUCCCGGCCUGCCACCACCUGGCUCGCGCGCAGCCCCGGCCCAGAAUGCCUUAACCUGCGCCGAUUGCUGCCGCCGAGGUGCCCCUCCCCUGUAGGGACCCCGACGCCGCCAGCCCCUUCCUCCUUUCCCGCAGGUUAGCCUGGCAAGGAAGAUAAAGACAUUUGCAACCAAGAUGGUAAUCACUAGUGAAAAUGAUGAAGACAGAGGAGGUCAAGAAAAAGAAAGUAAAGAGGAGAGUGUCUUGGCAAUGCUGGGGAUUAUCGGGACCAUUCUGAACCUGAUUGUGAUCAUAUUUGUCUACAUAUACACCACCCUGUGAAUGGCCCAGAGCGUCCUCAGAGGCCUCAGAAUGGCCAAAGACGGAAGUCCUGCGUGUCGGCGCAUCACUGACCAGACCCUGCGAGAACAAGCAGGCUUGACCCGCACAUACCACCCAAUCAAAUGCACCUUCAAACUUUACAAAAGGUCACACAAAUAGACCGAUCCUGCUGCAGGGAGCAGACACUAAAGCACAAUGAUUCCAACAAAACUCAUUCACAGCACUAGGAACUCAACGUCUUUGGCAGGGGGCCCAGAAGAAUGCUUGGAAGACCAGCCUCUGACACCAUCAGUGAGCGGAUGGGUGCAGAAAUUCAUUAUUCCAGAUCGCUGACAGAUAUCACAUAUUUGAAAAGAUGAAUAGGGCGGACAUGGCUCAGAUGUGUGUCUCCCAGGACAAGUGUUUCAUCUUCACUUGACGAGCUAUUUAGUGGAAAAACCACAGGCGCAGCCCUUUGACAGGCAUCCCAUUCAUCAAAAGUGUCUAACUAUUUGAUACUGGGGAGAUAACUUAUUUUUCUUUUUUCAUUGGCUUGACAUGUGUAUCUGUUCAUGUCAAGGUUUAUAAAUAUAUAUUUUUAAUAAAUGUGCUCUAUUUUUUAGCAUGAACCAAAUACUUGGAGAGGCACUCCCAGAUCCAUAGAGCUUUCCUUAGUUUUAUCUGCUUUGUCCCCUCCUCCCCCAACUACAGAUGUUCUGUUGUGGAGCCAUUCUAGUCCUUUUGUCUCAUCUUGAGUCUUUUACCUUGCGCUUUUGUUCUCUCUCUCUCCUCUCUCUCUGCCUCUUUGGUCUGAAGGACAUUUUCCCAUACUGUCAGCCAUGGUUUUGGGUGCAUGUUUUAAGAUUGUCCAUUGAGUGGCUUUUUGUUGUUAUCUCGGAGAUAUAAAAUGAUUGUGGGCAUGCAGACCUUAGAUGCACCCUAUCUUUACUGAGAAUUAUGCAUGAAUAAGGGCUGAGUGAUAGAUCAGCUUAAAAUUAAAAGGACUACCUUUGAGGAAGAAGAGCGUGGCUAUAUUUGCAGAUGAACUUUUGAACAGAAUAUUCAGCUUCUUACCGGCAGCGUUAUUGUUUCAUUCUUGUGACCAUUCGUUUAUCAGAUUUUGAUUUUAGCGGUCAUGUACCGCGAGAGUUGGGAAGAACAAGGGGGAAAGCUCGGGAUUAGGUGCAUUACUCCUUCCUUUGCAAGAUACCUGGGAUCCUCCUCAAAAGCGGGUGGGGUAUAAAUGACACAAGAACUCCCCCAGGAGAUCUCAUGGUGAUUCAGGCUGUGAGGACAGCCCUGUGACAGGUGACUUUUCAGGGACAUGAGGAGGGGAUUUAAUGAUUGCCCUAAAGGACUUCUGUAUUUUUAAAGCCCCUGGUUUACACCCACAUGAAGCUAUUUCCUCUCUGGCAGGGAUGGUUGCAUAAAAACAAAUUAGCUCCCUUCUGGCUCCCUGAAAUGGGCCCUUGCCUGGCUACAGUGGCAUGGCCUUAAAGAGAGGGUUAGUAUUCCUUCUGCCAUUGCCAGCUGUAUUAGUCUGUUUUCACACUGCUGAAAAAGACAUCCCCAAGACUGGGCAAUUUACAAAGAAAGAGGUUUAUUGGACUUACAGUUCCACGUGGCUGAGGAGGCCUCACAAUUACGGUGGAAGGUGAAAGGCACGUCUCACAUGGUGGCAGACAAGAGAAGUGAACAUGUGCAAGGAGACUCCCAUUUUUAAAACAGAUCUCGUGAGACUUUUUCACUAUCAUGCAAACAGCAUGGGAAACCUGCCCCCGUGAUUCAGUUACCUCCCACCGGGUCCCUCCCACAACACAUGGGUAUUCAAGAUGAGAUUUGGGUGGGGUUACAGCCAAACUCUAUCACCAGCCUUGCCCCUGGGCAGAAGCAGCAGCAGUCUGCCUGGCUGGAUUCAAAUGAUUCUGAGGCUUCUAUAGUCUAUGCCUGCAGAUCUCUCCCUCACCCAUGCUAUAGUGUCUGAAAUUCCACCAUUAGAGAGUCAUUUCUUGGGCUCUGUUAAAUGGACCAGGCUCUUUUAUAAAGAAAAUGCCCCUGAGCAGCUGGCUCUGGCAUUGAUUUAUGAUAUCUUCUCUUCCCUGCCAGAAGGAAGGAAGCUAAGGUGCAUGUAGGGCGUACUGUGUGCCCAGGCACUGUGCCAGAUGCUUUGGAUACUUGGAGUCAUUGAAUUCUUGUAGUAACCCUGUGAGAGAGGGAGUCUUUUCUCCACAUUGUAGAAGAAGGAAAAAGGGCUCAGAGAGGUCAAGAAAUGUCCCUGAGAUCACAUGGCUUCUAGUGGAGUCAAGAUCCAAACCCAAUGUGUCUGAUUCCUUAGCCCUUGGGGGUCCGGAGGCUGCUGAACAAGAAAGGAGGUGGAGAGGAGAGAAAGCUGCAGGCAUACCACCGCACACCCUUCUCCCUCCCCUGUAAAAACAACCCUGGGAACUCCCUGGACACUAGCAGAAUAUCAUACACUAAGGAUAAGGGAUGAGAGGAGGCUGGUUAGAAAUAAAGCAGUGUCAGGGGGAAGGAGCUACUCAGUAGGCUCUGUGUGAUUCUAGAAAGACUGUAUGAAAAUUCUGAACAGUGAACAGAAUAAACAAUAAAGGUGCAAUGG
rnacentral:lncRNA from 10 species